rnacentral:tRNA from 1 species
GAGAGAUGGCAGAGCGGUUGAAUGCGGCGGUCUUGAAAACCGUUGGGCGCGAGAGCGUUCCGGGGGUUCGAAUCCCCCUCUCUCC